UCGAUGCCAGAGCUAACUGAUGGGUGCACAUGGUUCCUUCGUAUGUUCUUUCUUUGAAAAAAUAAACGUGUUUCGAUGGCAGAGCUAACUGAUGGGUGCACAUGGUUCCCUCGUAUGUUUUUCCUUUGAAGAAAUAAACGUGUUUCGAUGCCAGAGCUAACUGAUGGGUGCACAUGGUUCCUUCGUAUGUUCUUCCUUUGAAAAUAUAAACGUGUUUCGAUGCCAGAGCUAACUGAUGGGUGCACAUGGUUCCUUCGUAUGUUCUUCCUUUGAAGAAAUACACGUGUUUCGAUGGCAGAGCUAACUGAUGGGUGCACAUGGUUCCUUCGUAUGUUUUUCCUUUGAAAAAAUAAACUUGUUUCGAUGCCAGAGCUAACUGAUGGGUGCACAUGGUUCCUUCGUAUGUUCUUCCUUUGAAGAAAUAAACG